rnacentral:rRNA from 1 species
AGAGCUCAAAUUUAAAAUCUGGCAAUCCUUGUGGUUGUCCGAGUUGUAAUCUAGAGAAGUGCUAUCCGCGCUGGACCGUGUACAAGUCUCCUGGAAUGGAGCGUCACAGAGGGUGAGAAUCCCGUCUUUGACACGGACCCCCAGGGCUUAUGUGAUGUGCUCUCAAAGAGUCGAGUUGUUUGGGAAUGCAGCUCUAAAUGGGUGGUAAAUUCCAUCUAAAGCUAAAUAUUGGCGAGAGACCGAUAGCGAA